rnacentral:lncRNA from 1 species
UUUCUCAGCCUGGAGACUGAAAGCUCUCUUUGGCUGUUGGCCCUCCCAGGCAGAGUCCACUGGCUGUUAGGGUGAAAUGGGGCUGAUGCUUCCUGGAAUCCACCAGAAGUAUGCAAAUUGCACCAUCUCUUUCAGCUGCCUGCGCCUGCAUUCCAUCGAGGAUUCCGGCUCGGCCCCCAGUGGCAACAGCCGGAGAGGAGGUGAGGAACCCCGGCACUGCCUUCUGAUAGGCUGUCUCCUUAGCUCCUCUUGCACUGGCAAUCCUUUCAUCACACAGGCUUUGUUUUGAAGGGACCUAUUCCACCCACAGUGGUUUCUCACCUCUAGGAGGCCAAAAAGCUGUAGUCAUUGCUGUGGUAUCAGGAACUCGAGUUCCUCUCAGAAGUGUUGUGAAGAGCUUCCCUUCCAACAAUACAUGGCCUAAAUACCAGGGAGGAAGUAAGUAUCUGACUCUUUCCAUCUUCAGUAAAACAGAACAUCUGCUGUGGAUGUAGUGGCUUUGCAAGGAGAGUGGCAUUGUCUCUUGGUGAAUGUAGUUAUUCAGGGCAUGG